GGACUACACGGGUAUCUAAUCCUGUUUGCUCCCCACGCUUUCGCGCAUCAGCGUCAGAACCGGUCCAGGUAGCCGCCUUCGCCACCGGUGUUCCUCCCAAUAUCUACGCAUUUCACCGCUACACUGGGAAUUCCGCUACCCCCUCCCGGCCUCGAGCCAGGCAGUUUCAAAGGCAAUUCCUCAGUUGAGCCGAGGGAUUUCACCUUUGACUUACCAAGCCGCCUACGCGCCCUUUACGCCCAAUAAUUCCGAAUAACGCUCGCCCCCUCCGUAUUACCGCGGCGGCUGGCAC
rnacentral:rRNA from 1 species